UAAUGUAAUUGAAAAUGAUUAUCAAUCCCAACGAUCCCCCCACUACAAUUCGUUCUUUUGAUUGAGUCAUUUUCAAGUAAUAUCCCCUUUUAUAUGCCCGUAUAAAAAUUUCGUUGAUAUUAAACGUAAAAUAAAAAGCCGCUGCAUACGCUAAGAUGCAACGGCUUUUUAA
rnacentral:ncRNA from 1 species